CCUACGGGUGGCAGCAGUGGGGAAUAUUGGACAAUGGGCGAAAGCCUGAUGCAGCAACGUCGCGUGAAGGAAGACGGGUUUCGGCUCGUAAACUUCUAUCAACAGGGGCGAAAGAAAUGACGGUACCUGAAUAAGAAGCCCCGGCUAACUACGUGCCAGCGGCCGCGGUAAUACGUAGGGGGCAAGCGGUAUCCGGAAUUACUGGGUGUAAAGGGUGAGUAGGGGGCAUGGUAAGCCAGAUGUGAAAGCCUUGGGCUUAACCCGAGGAUUGCAGUUGGAACUAUCAAGCUUGAGUACAGGAGAGGAAAGCGGAAUUCCUGGUGUAGCGGUGAAAUGCGUAGAUAUUAGGAAGAACACCAAUGGCGAAGGCAGCUUUCUGGACUGAAACUGACGCUGAGGCACGAAAGCGUGGGGAGCGAACAGGAUUAGAUACCCGAGUAGUC
rnacentral:rRNA from 1 species